UCUAAUGCUUGCUGUUCAAGAAAGAUGAUUGGUCCAAUCAAAUACCCGGAGGAGGCUGUCCGCCUUCCGCCGGAGGUGGCUGUCCGCCUUCUGCCGGAGGUGGUUGUCCGCCUUCCGCUGGUGGUGGUUGCCCCCCUUCUGCCGGAGGUGGUUGUCCGCCUUCCGCCGGAGGUGGUUGGCCGCCUCCAGGAGGUCCCGGAGGAUUGGGUGUGGGUGCCCCAUUCCCAGGGGGAGCAGUAGAGGGAGGAGUAGGAGACGCCUUGGCACCACAUUUGGUGUAGCAAAAGCACAUAUAUUUCGCUUCACGUUGAUG
rnacentral:lncRNA from 1 species